UACGUAGGGUCCGAGCGUUGUCCGGAAUUAUUGGGCGUAAAAAGCUCGUAGGCGGUUUGUCGCGUCUGUCGUGAAAGCUUGGGGCUUAACCCCAAGUCUGCGGUGGAUACGGGCAGACUAGAGUGCGGUAGGGGAGACUGGAAUUCCCGGUGUAGAGGUGAAAUUCGUAGAUAUCGGGAGGAACACCGGUGGCGAAGGCGGCGAUCUGGGUAGAUACUGACGCUGAGGUGCGAAAGCGUGGGGAGCAAACAGG
rnacentral:rRNA from 1 species